rnacentral:lncRNA from 1 species
CCUGCGGCUGUUAGUGCUGAGAAGACUGGGGAGCGUGUGGGUGGGCCUGGAGGGCACUGCAGGGCUUUCCGGAAGGAGCUGGGAGGAAAAAGAUGAAAAGCAACUCCGAAAGGGAACAAUUCUGAGUAAAGGAUUUGUUCUGAGGGGCUCUGACUACCUGGGGGAUUCCCAGAGAGCCCGUCGCCCUCAGUGCUACCUCAUUACCAUGCUCCUCCAAGGUCUCCACUCCCGAGGAGAAAGAAACAUCCCCCUUGGCUGGCCUCACAGAAGAUACAAAAGCAAAGCCCACCAGCACCAAAUUGAAAUUGACAGGAGAUGGGUGGAGUACAGUGUGUGGAU